UACAGAGGUGCCAAGCGUUAGGCGGAAUCACUGGGCUUAAAGCGCGUGUAGGCGGGUCGUUAAGUGUCCGAGUGAAAUCCCACGGCUCAACCGUGGAACUGCCGGGCAUACUGGCGACCUUGAGGCAUUCAGGGGCGAGCGGAACAAAUGGUGGAGCGGUGAAAUGCGUAGAUAUCAUUUGGAACGCCAAUGGUGAAAACAGCUCGCUGGGAAUGAUCUGACGCUGAGACGCGAAAGCCAGGGGAGCGAACGGG
rnacentral:rRNA from 1 species